rnacentral:rRNA from 1 species
CCCUGUUAUACUAUUAAAAAAUAAUAUUUCAAAAAAAAAUAAUAUAAUAAAUUUGACGGUAUUAACUUUUACAAAGGAAUUUGUUUCUAAAUCGAAAAUACACGAUUCACCUUACUUAAUUAUUAUUUGUAUACCACCGUAUAGUAGUUAUUAAAAAUUAACUACAAAAAAAACAAUUCUAAAAUAUCAGGUCAAGGUGCAAUUUUAUUAAGAUGAAAUGAAUUACAUUAUAUAAUACAUACAUAUAAAAAUUGAAAUAAUUUUUAAAACUAGAAUUUGUUAGUAAAAUUAAAUCAUUAUGUUCAUUUGAAAACUAUCAUUAAUAUGUACAUAUCGCCCG